UGCAGGUACUAGUGAGGGUACAAUAAUAGCCAUUGGAAUAGUGAUCCCGAUUUUCCUCCUUUGUAUUUUCUUCCUUUACAGAAGAAUCACAAACAAACAGAAAAGAAAAAACAGUGAAAAUGCAAUAUAUGAAAGUAUUCAGGAUCUCAAUCUCAACCAAACUCCUAAUCAGAAAACCACAGAAGAUGCUUCAGGUCUUUCUCCAAACUCCACCUACGCCUUGUUAGGAUUUCCAGCUGCACCUGUACGAUCCACUGAGACUGUAA